rnacentral:rRNA from 1 species
UGCCCCAGUAACGGCGAGUGAAGCGGCAAGAGCUCAAAUUUGAAAUCUGGCCUCCCUUGGGGGGUCCGAGUUGUAAUUUGUAGAGGAUGCUUCGGGUGUGGCCGCCGUCUAAGUUCCUUGGAACAGGACGUCGUAGAGGGUGAGAAUCCCGUCUUGGGCGGCCGGUCCGCGCCCGUGUGAAGCUCCUUCGACGAGUCGAGUUGUUUGGGAAUGCAGCUCUAAGCGGGUGGUAAAUUUCAUCUAAAGCUAAAUACUGGCCGGAGACCGAUAGCGCACAAGUAGAGUGAUCGAAAGGUUAAAAGCACCUUGAAAAGGGAGUUAAACAGCACGUGAAAUUGUUGAAAGGGAAGCGCUUGCGGCCAGACUCGAGGGGCGGGGUUCAGCGGGUGCGCGUCACCCGUGCACUCCCCGUCCCCCCGGGCCAGCAUCAGUUUCGACGGCCGGUCAAAGGCCCCCGGAAUGUGUCGUCUCUAGGGACGUCUUAUAGCCGGGGGUGCAAUGCGGCCCGCCGGGACUGAGGAACGCGCUCCGGCUCGGAUGCUG